GACGAACGCUGGCGGCGUGCCUAAUACAUGCAAGUUGAGCGAUGAAGAUUGGUGCUUGCACCAAUUUGAAGAGCAGCGAACGGGUGAGUAACGCGUGGGGAAUCUGCCUUUGAGCGGGGGACAACAUUUGGAAACGAAUGCUAAUACCGCAUAACAACUUUAAACAUAAGUUUUAAGUUUGAAAGAUGCAAUUGCAUCACUCAAAGAUGAUCCCGCGUUGUAUUAGCUAGUUGGUGAGGUAAAGGCUCACCAAGGCGAUGAUACAUAGCCGACCUGAGAGGGUGAGCGGCCACAUUGGGACUGAGACACGGCCCAAACUCCUACGGGAGGCAGCAGUAGGGAAUCUUCGGCAAUGGACGAAAGUCUGACCGAGCAACGCCGCGUGAGUGAAGAAGGUUUUCAGAUCGUAAAACUCUGUUGGUAGAGAAGAACGUUGGUGAGAGUGGAAAGCUCAUCAAGUGACGGUAACUACCCAGAAAGGGACGGCUAACUACGUG
rnacentral:rRNA from 1 species